GUUAUUUUAUUCUGAUUUAGUUAGAUUUUACAAUUAUAUUAAUUUAAAGUAUGAGAUAAUUAAUCUCAUCUUAUUUAUUACCAGUAUGCAGAUCAUACCACUUAAAACUAUAUUUGAAUUGGUUGUGAGAUGACUAAUUCUAAUGCUAUUGGUAUUAUUCGAGACAAUUACAAAUUUUAAGUCAAAUAUUAAUUGGAUUAUUUCAUAUCUAUAACAUUUAAUUGGUUUUUUUUGUAGCUAUAACAUCAUUUGUAUUUUCCUUUUUGAAAUUUUUGGCUUGUAUAUAUUUGGACUCAUACACA
rnacentral:misc_RNA from 1 species